rnacentral:rRNA from 1 species
UUAGAGUUUGAUCCUGGCUCAAGAUGACCUCUAGCGACAGGCUUAACACAUGCAAGUCGAGGGGCAGCACGAUGUAUCAAUACAUUGGUGGCGACCGGCGCACGGGUGAGUAACGCGUAUGCAACCUACCUAUCAGAGGGGAAUAACCCGGCGAAAGUCGGACUAAUACCGCAUAAAACAGGGGUUCCACAUGGAAAUAUUUGUUAAAGAAUUAUCGCUGAUAGAUGGGCAUGCGUUCCAUUAGAUAGUUGGUGAGGUAACGGCUCACCAAGUCCACGAUGGAUAGGGGUUCUGAGAGGAAGGUCCCCCACACUGGUACUGAGACACGGACCAGACUCCUACGGGAGGCAGCAGUGAGGAAUAUUGGUCAAUGGGCGAGAGCCUGAACCAGCCAAGUCGCGUGAAGGAUGAAGGAUCUAUGGCUUGUAAACUUCUUUUAUAUGGGAAUAAAGUGAGGAACGUGUUCCUUUUUGUAUGUACCAUAUGAAUAAGCAUCGGCUAACUCCGUGCCAGCAGCCGCGGUAAUACGGAGGAUGCGAGCGUUAUCCGGAUUUAUUGGGUUUAAAGGGUGCGUAGGUGGCUAAUUAAGUCAGCGGUGAAAGUUUGUGGCUCAACCAUAAAAUUGCCGUUGAAACUGGUUAGCUUGAGUAUAUUUGAGGUAGGCGGAAUGCGUGGUGUAGCGGUGAAAUGCAUAGAUAUCACGCAGAACUCCGAUUGCGAAGGCAGCUUACUAAACUAUAACUGACACUGAAGCACGAAAGCGUGGGGAUCAAACAGGAUUAGAUACCCUGGUAGUCCACGCAGUAAACGAUGAUUACUAGCUGUUUGCGAUACACAGUAAGCGGCACAGCGAAAGCGUUAAGUAAUCCACCUGGGGAGUACGCCGGCAACGGUGAAACUCAAAGGAAUUGACGGGGGCCCGCACAAGCGGAGGAACAUGUGGUUUAAUUCGAUGAUACGCGAGGAACCUUACCCGGGUUUGAACGCAUUCGGACCGGAGUGGAAACACUUCUUCUAGUAAUAGCCGUUUGCGAGGUGCUGCAUGGUUGUCGUCAGCUCGUGCCGUGAGGUGUCGGCUUAAGUGCCAUAACGAGCGCAACCCUUAUCACUAGUUACUAACAGGUCAUGCUGAGGACUCUAGUGAGACUGCCAGCGUAAGCUGUGAGGAAGGUGGGGAUGACGUCAAAUCAGCACGGCCCUUACAUCCGGGGCGACACACGUGUUACAAUGGUGGGGACAAAGGGCAGCUACCGUGUGAGCGGAUGCAAAUCUCCAAACCCCAUCUCAGUUCGGAUCGAAGUCUGCAACCCGACUUCGUGAAGCUGGAUUCGCUAGUAAUCGCGCAUCAGCCAUGGCGCGGUGAAUACGUUCCCGGGCCUUGUAC